CAAAGGCUUGGUCCUGGCCUUACUGUCAGCUUUAGUCAAAAUUACACAUGCAAGUCUCCGCGCCCCAGUGAGGAUGCCCACAGUCACCUAUUUGGAGACAUGGAGUCGGUAUCAGGCACACCCAUUCACGGGCAAGCUACUUGCCCUAGAGCCCAAGACACCUUGUUCAGCCACACCCUCAAGGGUAUUCAGCAGUGAUAGACCUUGAGCAAUGAGCGAAAGCUCUACUCAGUCAAGACUAAGAGGGCCGGUGAAACUCGUGCCAGCCACCGCGGUUAUACGAGAGGCCCAAGUUGAUAAACGACGGCGUAAAGAGUGGUUAAGGAAACAUGAUAAUAAAGCCGAAGACCUUCAGAGCUGUCAUACGCCUCUCCGAAGCCGUGAAGCCCGACUACGAAAGUGGCUUUACUUAACCUGACCCCACGAAAGCUGAGAAACAAACUGGGAUUAGAUACCCCACUAUGCUCAGCCCUAAACAUAGAUCGAAUUUAACCAAUUUUAUCCGCCCGGGAAUUACGGACAUUAGUCUAAAAACCAAAGGACUUGGCGGUGCUUCACAUCCACCUAGAGGAGCCUGUUCUAUAACCGAUAACCCCCGUUGAACCUCACCCCCCCUUGCCCGUCCCGCCUAUAUACCGCCGCCGUCAGCCUACCCUGAGAAGGACUAAUCGUACGCAGAAUUGGCACAGCCCAAAACGUCAGGUCGAGGUGUAGCGAAUGGAGGGGGAAGAAAUGGGCUACAUUUGCUUACCCCAAGCAAACACGAAUGUCUUCGCUGAAAAACGAAACUGA
rnacentral:rRNA from 1 species